UACAGAGGUCCCAAGCGUUGUUCGGAUUCACUGGGCGUAAAGGGUGCGUAGGUGGCAGGGUAAGUUUGAUGUGAAAUCUCCGAGCUUAACUCGGAAACUGCAUUGAAUACUAUCCUGCUCGAGGUUUGGAGGGGGGACUGGAAUUCUCGGUGUAGCAGUGAAAUGCGUAGAUAUCGAGAGGAACACCAGUGGCGAAGGCGAGUCCCUGGACAACACCUGACACUGAGGCACGAAAGCUAGGGGAGCAAACAGG
rnacentral:rRNA from 1 species